rnacentral:rRNA from 1 species
UACGUAGGGUGCGAGCGUUAAUCGGAAUUACUGGGCGUAAAGCGUGCGCAGGCGGUUUUGUAAGACAGGUGUGAAAUCCCCGGGCUUAACCUGGGAACUGCAUUUGUGACUGCAAGGCUGGAGUGCGGCAGAGGGGGAUGGAAUUCCGCGUGUAGCAGUGAAAUGCGUAGAUAUGCGGAGGAACACCGAUGGCGAAGGCAGCACCCUGGGCUGACACUGACGCUCAGGCACGAAAGCGUGGGGAGCAAACAGG